rnacentral:rRNA from 2 species
ACCUUUUAAAAGCUUGCUUUUGAAAGGUCAGCGGCGGACGGGUGAGUAACACGUGGGCAACCUGCCUGUAAGACUGGGAUAACUUCGGGAAACCGGAGCUAAUACCGGAUAAUAUAAGGAACCUCCUGGUUCUUUAUUGAAAGAUGGUUUCGGCUAUCACUUACAGAUGGGCCCGCGGCGCAUUAGCUAGUUGGUGAGGUAAUGGCUCACCAAGGCGACGAUGCGUAGCCGACCUGAGAGGGUGAUCGGCCACACUGGGACUGAGACACGGCCCAGACUCCUACGGGAGGCAGCAGUAGGGAAUCUUCCACAAUGGACGAAAGUCUGAUGGAGCAACGCCGCGUGAGCGAUGAAGGCCUUCGGGUCGUAAAGCUCUGUUGUUAGGGAAGAACAAGUGCGAGAGUAACUGCUCGCACCUUGACGGUACCUAACCAGAAAGCCACGGCUAACUACGUGCCAGCAGCCGCGGUAAUACGUAGGUGGCAAGCGUUGUCCGGAAUUAUUGGGCGUAAAGCGCGCGCAGGUGGUUCUUUAAGUCUGAUGUGAAAGCCCACGGCUCAACCGUGGAGGGUCAUUGGAAACUGGGGAACUUGAGUGCAGAAGAGGAAAGUGGAAUUCCAAGUGUAGCGGUGAAAUGCGUAGAGAUUUGGAGGAACACCAGUGGCGAAGGCGACUUUCUGGUCUGUAACUGACACUGAGGCGCGAAAGCGUGGGGAGCAAACAGGAUUAGAUACCCUGGUAGUCCACGCCGUAAACGAUGAGUGCUAAGUGUUAGAGGGUUUCCGCCCUUUAGUGCUGCAGCUAACGCAU